rnacentral:rRNA from 1 species
UACGGAGGGGGCUAGCGUUGUUCGGAAUUACUGGGCGUAAAGCGCGCGUAGGCGGUCGUUCAAGUCGAGUGUGAAAGCCCCCGGCUCAACUGGGGAGGGUCACUCGAUACUGAUCGACUCGAAGGCAGGAGAGGGAAGUGGAAUUCCCGGUGUAGUGGUGAAAUGCGUAGAUAUCGGGAGGAACACCAGUGGCGAAGGUGACUUCCUGGCCUGUUCUUGACGCUGAGGCGCGAAAGCUAGGGGAGCAAACGGG